CGGCAGAUCUUACGCAGCCCCAUUAUUAUCUGACAGGCUGUAUCCACGGCCAUGAUUCUGCCCCACUCACCGCGGCAGAUCUUACGCGAUCCCAUUAUUCUCUGACAGGUCGUAUCAACGGCCAUAAUCCUACUCCACUACCUGCGGCGAGCGCUGCGUGACUCCGCUGCCUAUGACAAGCACCACGUGGCACACUCCAGCAAUGGCCACGAGUCUACUCCACUACUCUUCGCAGUAAAUCUUGCUUGACUCUUGACAGCCCACGAUCAGGCGGUUACAAAAGUCGCCAUCCAUCCGUCACCUCCUCCGCCUAUAAAAGGGAGGACCCAGAUACGUUAUUCUAUAAGC
rnacentral:lncRNA from 1 species